rnacentral:rRNA from 1 species
CCUACGGGAGGCAGCAGUGAGGAAUAUUGGUCAAUGGACGAGAGUCUGAACCAGCCAAGUAGCGUGAAGGAUGACUGCCCUAUGGGUUGUAAACUUCUUUUAUAAGGGAAUAAAAUGAGGCACGUGUGUGUUUUUGUAUGUACUUUAUGAAUUAGGAUCGGCUAACUCCGUGCCAGCAGCCGCGGUAAUACGGAGGAUCCGAGCGUUAUCCGGAUUUAUUGGGUUUAAAGGGAGCGUAGAUGGGUUGUUAAGUCAGUUGUGAAAGUUUGCGGCUCAACCGUAAAAUUGCAAUUGAUACUGGCAGUCGUGAGUACAGUAGAGGUAGGCGGAAUUCGUGGUGUAGCGGUGAAAUGCUUAGAUAUCACGAAGAACCCCGAUUGCGAAGGCAGCUUACUGGACUGUAACUGACAUUGAGGCUCGAAAGUGUGGGUAUCAAACAGGAUUAGAUACCCGAGUAGUC